UGAGGAAUAUUGGACAAUGGAUGGAAAUCUGAUCCAGCCAUCCCGCGUGAAGGAAGACUGCCCUAUGGGUUGUAAACUGCUUUUCCAGGGGGAGAAUUUUUCUGUCGUGACAGGAAUUGACGGUACCCUGGGAAUAAGCAUCGGCUAACUCCGUGCCAGCAGCCGCGGUAAUACGGAGGAUGCGAGCGUUAUCCGGAUUUAUUGGGUUUAAAGGGUGCGUAGGCGGCUUUUUAAGUCAGUGGUGAAAUCCUGCAGCUCAACUGUAGAACAGCCAUUGAAACUGAAGAGCUUGAGUAAUCUUGAGGUAGGCGGAAUGUGUAGUGUAGCGGUGAAAUGCUUAGAUAUUACACAGAACACCGAUUGCGAAGGCAGCUUACUAAGGAUUUACUGACGCUGAUGCACGAAAGCGUGGGGAUCAAACA
rnacentral:rRNA from 1 species